GAUGAACGCUAGCGACAGGCUUAACACAUGCAAGUCGAGGGGCAGCAGGGGAGUAGCAAUACUCCCGCUGGCGACCGGCGCACGGGUGAGUAACACGUAUGCAACCUGCCCUUGUCAGGGGGAUAAGCGGAAGAAAUUCCGUCCAAUACCGCAUAAUGCUGCGGGGAGACAUCUCCCUGCAGCCAAAGAUUUAUCGGACAAGGAUGGGCAUGCGGCGCAUUAGCUUGUUGGCGGGGUAACGGCCCACCAAGGCGACGAUGCGUAGGGGUUCUGAGAGGAAGGUCCCCCACACUGGUACUGAGACACGGACCAGACUCCUACGGGAGGCAGCAGUGAGGAAUAUUGGUCAAUGGCCGGGAGGCUGAACCAGCCAAGUCGCGUGAGGGAAGACGGUCCUAUGGAUUGUAAACCUCUUUUGUCAGGGAGCAAAAACUGCCACGUGUGGCAGGAUGAGAGUACCUGAAGAAAAAGCAUCGGCUAACUCCGUGCCAGCAGCCGCGGUAAUACGGAGGAUGCGAGCGUUAUCCGGAUUUAUUGGGUUUAAAGGGUGCGUAGGCGGACAGUUAAGUCAGCGGUAAAAUUGAGAGGCUCAACCUCUUCCCGCCGUUGAAACUGAUUGUCUUGAGUGGGCGAGAAGUAUGCGGAAUGCGUGGUGUAGCGGUGAAAUGCAUAGAUAUCACGCAGAACUCCGAUUGCGAAGGCAGCAUACCGGCGCCCAACUGACGCUGAAGCACGAAAGCGUGGGUAUCGAACAGGAUUAGAUACCCUGGUAGUCCACGCAGUAAACGAUGAAUACUAAUUGUUCGGGUCAAAUGAGAUCUGAGUGAUACAGCGAAAGCGUUAAGUAUUCCACCUGGGGAGUACGCCGGCAACGGUGAAACUCAAAGGAAUUGACGGGGGCCCGCACAAGCGGAGGAACAUGUGGUUUAAUUCGAUGAUACGCGAGGAACCUUACCCGGGCUCAAGCGACACAGGAAUGAUCUGAGAAAUCAGGCAGUCCUCCGGGACCUGUGUCGAGGUGCUGCAUGGUUGUCGUCAGCUCGUGCCGUGAGGUGUCGGCUUAAGUGCCAUAACGAGCGCAACCCCCAUCGACAGUUGCCAGCAGGUCAAGCUGGGCACUCUGUCGAGACUGCCGGCGCAAGCUGUGAGGAAGGCGGGGAUGACGUCAAAUCAGCACGGCCCUUACGUCCGGGGCGACACACGUGUUACAAUGGCAGGUACAGCGGGAAGCCACCUGGCGACAGGGAGCGGAACCCGAAAGCCUGUCUCAGUUCGGAUUGGAGUCUGCAACUCGACUCCAUGAAGCUGGAUUCGCUAGUAAUCGCGCAUCAGCCACGGCGCGGUGAAUACGUUCCCGGGCCU
rnacentral:rRNA from 1 species